CUAGAACUCAGGGAUUCACCAAGCUUGGCACUGCCCACUUGGGUCUCCCAUAAUUGCCCGUGACAGAUAAUACAUUGUCUCGAGGCAGAAACCAUGAUCCCUCUAAUCCAGUGGCCGAGGUGGAGGGCCUACCGCCUGCGGCCACCUGGCUUUUCCUAACGGCUUAAUGAGAAAGUCAGAAUUAAUUGGAACUGGCACCCAGCACUUGCAGGGCUUGGCGUGGCCUGCUCGGCCUCCAUAUGUUAAAGCUGCACAUCUCUGGUUCUGCUCUGACCUGUUCUGUACACCGACAGCUUUUGGCCACUGCUGAAGGAGCAGCCCCCAGGGGGCUCCACAGUAACUGGCUUCUAAGUACAAACAGCCUCUCUGAGGUCAAGUCAACAUUCUGGACACCCAGAACUGCAUCACUCACCCAGCCUGGACACAGAAUAAAUACUGGUUGAAUGUAUCAUCAAGGAAAUAAGGGACUACAUGAGAGUCAGAUAUGUGAGUGACAAAUACAAACCUCAGUCACUUCCCUCCAGGGCUCCCAUCUCUCUUGGGGUAGAAGCCCAGUGCUCCUUGUGGACCCUCAAGGCCCUGCACGACCUGCUGCAUUCCUCCCCACCGCCCCCCACCUCCCCUUAGCUCACUCUGCUCCAGCC
ensembl:lncRNA